AUGAAGAAGAUGACUUCAACAUUUUGACAUGGUGGAAGGUGAAUAGUCCUAGAUUCCCUGUUCUCUCUAAACUAGCUCGUGAUGUGUUGGCUGUGCCGGUAUCCACAGUUGCUUCCGAAGCUGCUUUUAGCACGGGUGGAAGAGUCCUUGAUCCAUUUAGGAGUUCUUUAACUCCUAAAAUAGUGCAAGCUCUGAUUUGCACUCAAGAUUGGCUUCGGCCAUCGGAUUCUAAAUUGAAUGUGGAAGAAGAAUUGGAGGAUCUUGAAGCUUUAGAAUCUGGCUUGACUAAUGGAGGUGCUGAAACUUCAAUCACUCUUUAAAGAUAAUAGAAGUCUGGAACUAAAUUAUGUUGCAGUCAGUUUUCAGAUUUUGAUUUCUGAUUUCUGGUUUCUGCAUUCAGUUCAUUGUGACUUGUGAAAUGUGAACUUGAAAAAUGUCUGUUAGUGUUACUUUGAAGAACUUGUCGUUGUAUUGUCUAUUGGCAGUUGGUACUUGGUACUCCAGAUUUGUAUUUGAUGGAUUUUGGCAUUUGUAAGGUGUGUAAUAAUUUGGAUGUUGAUUUCCUUUGAA